rnacentral:other from 1 species
AUGUUCCUGAAGUGUUCGAUUAUAACCUAUUAUUUUGAACCUACAGUAGACUUACGGGAACCCGAUUGUUUUUAUCGGUAUUACAGGCCUCAAGAUAAUUCCGACACCGGUUCAAAUCGGUUGCAACGGCAGAGGAAGUAAGAGCGGUAAAGCAGGGUACCCACCUAGCAUUUGGCUAGGUGUCAAAAUAUAGGGAAACGGCAUUUCGGGACAUGA